UACGGGGGGGGCAAGCGUUGUUCGGAAUUACUGGGCGUAAAGGGCUCGUAGGCGGCCAACUAAGUCAGACGUGAAAUCCCUCGGCUUAACCGGGGAACUGCAUCUGAUACUGGAUGGCUUGAGUUUGGGAGAGGGAUGCGGAAUUCCAGGUGUAGCGGUGAAAUGCGUAGAGAUCCGGCGGAACACCGGUGGUGAAGGCGGUCUCCUGGGCCGAGGGCCGACGCUGAGGCGCGAGAGCGUGGGGAGCGAACCGG
rnacentral:rRNA from 1 species